UACGUAGGGCGCAAGCGUUGUCCGGAAUUAUUGGGCGUAAAGAGCUCGUAGGCGGAUCACUCAGUCUGGUUUAAAGACCGGGGCUCAACCCCGGGCAUGGACUGGAUACUGGUGAUCUUGACCUCUGGAGAGGUAGCUGGAAUUCCUGGUGUAGCGGUGGAAUGCGUAGAUACCAGGAGGAACACCAACAGCGAAGGCAGAUCUCUGGGACGUAACUGGCGCUGAGACGCGAAAGCGUGGGGAGCAAACAGG
rnacentral:rRNA from 1 species